UUGGAGGUUUGAUAGAGCCAUUGGACCCCGGAAACUUCAGCAGUCAUGCUAUAUUAUCGAAACAACAGAAGAAAUUUACAAGAGAAAAAGGGAAAGGCUGGACACCGAGGUUUCUAUGAACAUUGAUCUCAUCUAUCACUAAAACCAGCAAACAGAGAAAACAAGACCAUCAUUUCCUGACCCAAACCAAAACAUCCAAACCUCUAAACAGGCGGCCGUGGGCAGUAAAAGCUGCAUGAACACACAUCAUCUAUGCACUCUCCUCUGCCUUUGGGCUCCACAGAGCACUCCUGUUCGCAUCUCUCCGGCCUACACCUAGCUGUUCCAAUCGUCUUUUGACAUGUGUGCUCCGGAAGCCGGACCGAGUUUGGGCUAUCCGCAAAGAGCUCCACCUCCUUGACUGCUCGGAAAACAGAUAACCGUAAAAAUGGGUCCAUGGAUGCCACCCCAGGACGAUGCAAGAAUGAAGAAUCUAGAGCUAGAUUUACUUUUAUAGAACUUUGUCAGCAUAAUUUUCCACGCACCAAAACUAAUCAUAAGAAAAAAAUAUAAUUAUCUCAAGAACUAAUUGGUUGAAGUUUGUGAGAACACCAUAUUUCUCUUCAGAGAUAACCCUGCUCGCCAUUCUAGUGCAGCUUAUUGGCUCCUAGGCUCGCUGUUGUAAUUAGUUCUCUUAUGUCUAAUAAAAUAAAUUGUGCUCAGGACUAAUUCCUUUUCCUCUGAAAAGAAAAAGAUAUCUGGAAUUAAUUGAAGUUAAGCGAGCGUUUAGGAAAGAAGGGGAUUAUGGAGUACCUGAUGAAAGCAGAAGCAGGCCAAGGAGAAGAGGCAGCACGAAACGAAGCUUCAUCUUUUCACUGUGGAGAUGGAGAUGGAGANNN
rnacentral:lncRNA from 1 species